GCUGGAAUCGCUAGUAAUCGCGGAUCAGAAUGCCGCGGUGAAUACGUUCCCGGGUCUUGUACACACCGCCCGUCACACCAUGGGAGUCGGAAAUGCCCGAAGUCUGUGACCCAACCAUUAAGGAGGGAGCAGCCGAAGGCAGGUCGGAUGACUGGGGUGAAGUCGUAACAAGGUAUC
rnacentral:rRNA from 1 species